UACGUAGGGUGCGAGCGUUGUCCGGAAUUACUGGGCGUAAAGAGCUCGUAGGUGGUUUGUCGCGUUGUUCGUGAAAACUCACAGCUCAACUGUGGGCGUGCGGGCGAUACGGGCAGACUGGAGUACUGCAGGGGAGACUGGAAUUCCUGGUGUAGCGGUGGAAUGCGCAGAUAUCAGGAGGAACACCGGUGGCGAAGGCGGGUCUCUGGGCAGUAACUGACGCCGAGGAGCGAAAGCGUGGGGAGCGAACAGG
rnacentral:rRNA from 1 species